UGGGGAAUUUUGGACAAUGGGGGAAACCCUGAUCCAGCCAUUCCGCGUGAGUGAAGAAGGCCUUCGGGUUGUAAAGCUCUUUCGGCAGGAACGAAACGGUUACGGUUAAUACCCGUGACAACUGACGGUACCUGAAGAAGAAGCACCGGCUAACUACGUGCCAGCAGCCGCGGUAAUACGUAGGGUGCGAGCGUUAAUCGGAAUUACUGGGCGUAAAGCGUGCGCAGGCGGUUAUGCAAGCCAGACGUGAAAGCCCCGGGCUUAACCUGGGAAUGGCGUUUGGGACUGCAUGGCUAGAGUACGUCAGAGGGGGGUGGAAUUCCACGUGUAGCAGUGAAAUGCGUAGAGAUGUGGAGGAACACCGAUGGCGAAGGCAGCCCCCUGGGAUGAUACUGACGCUCAGGCACGAAAGCGUGGGGAGCAAACAG
rnacentral:rRNA from 1 species